rnacentral:rRNA from 1 species
UACGUAGGGUGCAAGCGUUAAUCGGAAUUACUGGGCGUAAAGCGUGCGCAGGCGGUUAUGUAAGACAGAGGUGAAAUCCCCGGGCUCAACCUGGGAACUGCCUUUGUGACUGCAUAGCUGGAGUACGGCAGAGGGGGAUGGAAUUCCGCGUGUAGCAGUGAAAUGCGUAGAUAUGCGGAGGAACACCGAUGGCGAAGGCAAUCCCCUGGGCCUGUACUGACGCUCAUGCACGAAAGCGUGGGGAGCAAACAGG